rnacentral:rRNA from 1 species
GACGAACGCUGGCGGCGUGCUUAACACAUGCAAGUCGAACGGUGAAGGGGUCUGCUUUUGUGGGCCCUGGAUGAGUGGCGCACGGGUGAGUAACACGUGAGUAACCUGCCCCCUUCUUCUGGAUAACCGCAUGAAAGUGUGGCUAAUACGGGAUAUUCUGGGUCUGUCGCAUGAUGGGUCUGGGAAAGAUUGCGCCUUUGGGUGUUUUUGGUGGGGGAUGGGCUCGCGGCCUAUCAGCUUGUUGGUGGGGUGAUGGCCUACCAAGGCGGUGACGGGUAGCCGGCCUGAGAGGGUGGACGGUCACACUGGGACUGAGACACGGCCCAGACUCCUACGGGAGGCAGCAGUGGGGAAUAUUGCACAAUGGGCGCAAGCCUGAUGCAGCGACGCCGCGUGAGGGGUGGAGGCCUUCGGGGUGUAAACCUCUUUCGCCAGUGAAGCAGGCCUGCUCCUUGUGGGUGGGUUGACGGUAGCUGGAUAAGAAGCGCCGGCUAACUACGUG